rnacentral:rRNA from 1 species
CCUACGGGCGGCAGCAGUGGGGAAUAUUGGGCAAUGGGCGCAAGCCUGACCCAGCAACGCCGCGUGAAGGAAGAAGGCUUUCGGGUUGUAAACUUCUUUUCUCAGGGACGAAGCAAGUGACGGUACCUGAGGACUAAGCCACGGCUAACUACGUGCCCGCAGCCGCGGUAAUACGUAGGUGGCAAGCGUUAUCCGGAUUUACUGGGUGUAAAGGGCGUGUAGGCGGGAAAGCAAGUCAGAUGUGAAAACCAUGGGCUCAACCUGUGGCCUGCAUUUGAAACUGUUUUUCUUGAGUACUGGAGAGGCAGACGGAAUUCCUAGUGUAGCGGUGAAAUGCGUAGAUAUUAGGAGGAACACCAGUGGCGAAGGCGGUCUGCUGGACAGCAACUGACGCUGAGGCGCGAAAGCGUGGGGAGCAAACAGGAUUAGAUACCCCGGUAGUC